rnacentral:rRNA from 1 species
AAUGAACGCUGGCGGCGUGCUUAACACAUGCAAGUCGAACGGAUGAUUGGAGCUUGCUCCAAUCGUUAGUGGCGAACGGGUGAGUAAACACGUGAGCAACCUGCCCCGAAGAUUGGGAUAACACCGGGAAACCGGUGCUAAUACUGAAUACCUUCCUCAUUUUCGCAUGAUGAGAGGAAGAAAGUUUUUUCGCUUCGGGAGGGGCUCGCGGUCCAUCAGCUUGUUGGCGGGGUAACGGCCCACCAAGGCUACGACGGAUAGCUGGUCUGAGAGGACGAUCAGCCACACUGGAACUGAGACACGGUCCAGACUCCUACGGGAGGCAGCAGUGGGGAAUCUUGCGCAAUGGGCGAAAGCCUGACGCAGCAACGCCGCGUGAGGGACGAAGGCUUUCUGAGUUGUAAACCUCUUUCGACAGGAACGAUUGUGACGGUACCUGUAGAAGAAGCACCGGCCAACUAUGUGCCAGCAAGCCGCAGU